GGCAGAGAGCAUGGGUGUGCAUGCAUGGGGCGUGCUCCGAGUGUGCAGGCUGGGGUUGCUCCCACAGACCCCUCUGGUGUGGCCUCGUCGCCGCCCUCCACCCCCACCACCCCCCGGCUGGCACACCAUCAAGCAGCGGGGUUGCCGCCCACCCCACAGGACCCUGGCUAGAGAGAUACACAAUGCCCCUUCUUUACAGGGCUCCUCUCGAUUUGUUUCUCACGACCCUGUUUACCGCUCCGGUCUCCUGGAUGAGCAGGAUGGGCAGGCCAGUGUUCAGAAGCCUCUGAAUGGCCGCCGUUGGCAUCACAUGGCCCGGGACCCUGGGGCCCUCCUGGGGGUCCUCUUUUCCCUUCUGCACACUCUGCCUCCUGCCCGCUCCCUGUCACACACCAGGGGGCUGCAGAUGGUGCACGCAGAGCCCGCAGUGCUUGAAGGUGUUUCUGGGGCACUCAGCAUGUCACAGGCACUGUCCCAGGAAGAGGGGCGCAGGGGUGAGAGGCCGGACAGGGCAGAGUGCCUGAGGAGAGACGGCCAGAAAUCCAUCCAGGGAUGACCUCUCAGAAAUCCCCCUACACUUGGACACAGAGCUGGAGCAGGAGGAGCUCUGCCCCUGGACCUGAAGGCAAGUCCCCCUUUUCUGAGCUUCCGGUUCCUCAUCUGUGACAUGGAAUUCGUGGCAUGUUUCU
rnacentral:lncRNA from 1 species